rnacentral:rRNA from 1 species
AGAGUUUGAUCCUGGCUCAGGACGAACGCUGGCGGCGUGCCUAACACAUGCAAGUCGAGCGAGGAGAUUCCUUUCGGGGAUGAACCUAGCGGCGGACGGGUGAGUAACACGUGGGCAACCUGCCUUAUAGAGGGGAAUAGCCUUCCGAAAGGAAGAUUAAUACCGCAUAAGAUUACAUCUUCGCAUGAAGGAGUAAUUAAAGGAGCAAUCCGCUAUAAGAUGGGCCCGCGGCGCAUUAGCUAGUUGGUGAGGUAACGGCUCACCAAGGCGACGAUGCGUAGCCGACCUGAGAGGGUGAUCGGCCACAUUGGGACUGAGACACGGCCCAGACUCCUACGGGAGGCAGCAGUGGGGAAUAUUGCACAACGGGGGAAACCCUGAUGCAGCAACGCCGCGUGAGUGAUGAAGGUCUUCGGAUCGUAAAGCUCUGUCUUCAGGGACGAUAAUGACGGUACCUGAGGAGGAAGCCACGGCUAACUACGUGCCAGCAGCCGCGGUAAUACGUAGGUGGCGAGCGUUGUCCGGAUUUACUGGGCGUAAAGGGAGCGUAGGCGGAUUUUUAAGUGAGAUGUGAAAUACCCGGGCUCAACUUGGGUGCUGCAUUUCAAACUGGAAGUCUAGAGUGCAGGAGAGGAGAGUGGAAUUCCUAGUGUAGCGGUGAAAUGCGUAGAGAUUAGGAAGAACACCAGUGGCGAAGGCGACUCUCU